rnacentral:rRNA from 1 species
CCUACGGGAGGCAGCAGUGAGGAAUAUUGGUCAAUGGACGGAAGUCUGAACCAGCCAAGUAGCGUGCAGGAUGACGGCCCUAUGGGUUGUAAACUGCUUUUAUGCGGGGGUAAAGUGAGUGACGUGUCAUUCAUUGCAAGUACCGCAAGAAUAAGGACCGGCUAAUUCCGUGCCAGCAGCCGCGGUAAUACGGAAGGUCCUGGUGUUAUCCGGAUUUAUUGGGUUUAAAGGGAGCGUAGGCCGUCAGGCAAGCGUGUUGUGAAAUGUCGUGGCUCAACCAUGGACUUGCAGCGCGAACUGCCCGACUUGAGUGCGCAGAAAGCAGGCGGAAUUUGUGGUGUAGCGGUGAAAUGCUUAGAUAUCACGAAGAACCCCGAUUGCGAAGGCAGCCUGCUGUAGCGCUACUGACGCUGAAGCUCGAAAGUGCGGGUAUCGAACAGGAUUAGAUACCCUGGUAGUCCGCACGGUAAACGAUGGAUGCCCGCUGUUCGGUCUGCGGACCGAGCGGCUAAGUGAAAACGUUAAGCAUCCCACCUGGGGAGUACGCCGGCAACGGUGAAACUCAAAGGAAUUGACGG